rnacentral:rRNA from 1 species
UACGGAGGGUGCAAGCGUUAUCCGGAUUCACUGGGUUUAAAGGGUGCGUAGGAGGGCAGGUAAGUCAGUGGUGAAAAUCCUGGAGCUCAACUCCAGAACUGCCUUUGAUACUGAAGAUCUUGAGUUCGGGAGAGGUGAGUGGAACUGCGAGUGUAGAGGUGAAAUUCGUAGAUAUUCGCAAGAACACCAGUGGCGAAGGCGGCUCACUGGCCCGAUACUGACGCUGAGGCACGGAAAGCGUGGGGAGCAAACAGG